UUAUUAUUCACGUAUAUGGCAUUAUUCACCGAAAAACUAAAUUUUCUUCUUUUUGUCCAAGUUGUCUAUUAUGGUUACUUUCUUUGAUUGUAUCCAUGUUUUGAUCUUUAUUUUUGAAUUCUGUUUCAAAAUUGGUUAUUAUGGAGUAUUAUUGAACUUGGAUAAACUGUAAUACGAAUCCCUAAUAUUUGUCCUUUUGUUUCACUGGAUUCGUUUUCUUUAAGAUAUUUUUCAUCAUCUUCAGUCCUAAAUGAUGAUAUUACUGAAUAUCUUUGGCCUAUAGUGCAAAGAUGAAUGAUUACCUAAUGAAUAUCUUUGGCCCGUAGUGCAAAGAUGAACAGGUGUUGAGAUGAACAUGACCAACUGGUGAUACAAAUGAAUAUCUUUGGCCUGUAGUGCAAAGAUGAAUANNNNNNNNNNNNNNNNNNNNNNNNNNNNNNNNNNNNNNNNNNNNNNNNNNNNNNNNNNNNNNNNNNNNNNNNNNNNNNNNNNNNNNNNNNNNNNNNNNNNCUAAAAAAUCGUACGCAUAUAUAGUAUAUAUAGUUCAAUGAAAAGUGAGCUUAAUUUUUGUGUUACGUUUGUAGCUUCUAAACUUUUAUUCGUAUUCGAGUAUCCAAAUUUAUCAUAAAAUGAGUAGAAUAGUAUGAAUGCUUUCAACAUAUAUAAAAUCUCAUGCCAUAAUAAUUUAAUGAAAUAAUGAGAUUUCCUCUAGUUUAUGAAAAAAGAGUGAGAGGUUGUACACAUGUGCUAAUUAACAAUUAAUAUAAGCUAUAAGAUAUAUGAGAAGUAUACAAAAGUCUAUUAAAAUUUGUCACUUAUUUCAUAGUCUAUAAAAGUCAUUUUUAAAAAGUCUUUAAAAGUCAUUAAAAUUUACAAACUCUAUAAAAGUCUGUCACUUAAAAAAAGUCAUUAAAAAUCUUAAUUAAAUACACCUCCUUAAUUUGCAGUAUUGACAAAGGCUAAAUACAUUUUCGUUAUAAUCAAAACCUGUUUGAGGGAGUUUUAAUUUUGAAGAGGAGCUCUUUUUAUGGGAAGUGAGAGAGUAUACAAUUUUCUAUUCUUAUUAAACCCCACCAUUAUUUAAUCUAUCAUCCUCUUUCUUGUCCACUUCAACCUGAUUCGUUCCCAAUAAUUCCCCAACAGAUCUCCUACCAUCGUCAUCCGAUUAUACUGGCACAUCCUUCACAUCACUGUCACUUUCUCUCUCUGUAUACUGAUGCUCUUCCUCUAAAUCUACAUGCCCCCGCUGCCAUGGUUUUCAGUGACAAAGAACUGCUAUGGAGAAUACUCAGUGAAGGGGCCUUUGUGAGAAAAGGAUAGAAAGCUUUGACUGUGUCCAUGGCGCACAACCUUAACAUAACUGCACCAGUGAUGGAGAGUUUGAAUGUUGCAGUCUUUGAAUUAAAGAAACGAAAACAAGUGGAGAGAGAAAGAAAAUCAAUAUUAAUCCUCUAAAUUAAGGAAUCCUAAUUGCACUAAUAUUAUAAAUAAUUAUGGAAAAGUGUAUUACUUUUGUAAUUAUUUUAUGGAUGCACUAUUAUUGUAAUUAUUUCUAAAAAUGUACUAAAAUAUGUAAUUAACCCAUAAAAGUAGUUAACCAACCCAUUUGAUUCCAGUUAAUAUGGACUGAGUAAUAAAGUUGAGAUUAAAUUAGCUUAAGCUUUCGUAAAUAAAAAUAAGCAACUUGGACCUUACUUUGCUCCUACUUUUUUGGAUUUCACUCCUUUCAUUCCAUUGGCUCAUAAUUAAUGUCAUACAUGCCCAAGUUUACAUAAUAAUUAGUGAACCGCUUUUUAUAACUAAAUAAUUUAAUUAAUUAGCAUAUUAAAUAAAUUACCCAAACAAAAAAUAGACAUCACAUUAAAGGAAAUAGAUAGUUUACUUUCCCAAAACAAAAAAUAGACAUGAUUAGGGAAAAAGAUGGUUGUUGAAUUGGGAGGCCCAUCAGGUUUAUUUGAUGGGAGUAGCUGAUUACCGGCCUGUAAUCCUUCCACCGAAAGGAGAGGGAAGUGGUCGCUGCUCUGUGAAACCAGCCUAGCGCAGUACCCUCCACUAUAGUGACCGAGAGCUCUGAGCCUUCGCUCAGAACCCAUGGUUAAACUCCUCACUUGAAUGGGCAGGCCAUGCAUUAAACCAAACUAGCCCAACCAUCUGGACCAAACCAACCCUUCAACCAUCCUAUAGCCCUCACUUGAGUUACAGGCUCAAGUUACUAAGCCCGGCUGCUCGCUAUUGAGACAAUAUUAAUUUAUAAAGUAAAGGCUUA
rnacentral:lncRNA from 1 species